GAAUUUCUUUGCAUGUGAACUUAUGUGACUAAGUGUUGAAGAUCUCCCUCCUCGCAACAUCAUUAUUUCCCUCUCUUAAUUGACAGAUGAAAGUGUUGGUAAGAUUUUCAAUGUUGUCUCUUGAGGGUUCAUUAUUGUAGUAAUUUUCUUCUCAAGGAUCAUGGGGGUAUCCACUACUUUUUCUUUAUUCUGCUUUGCCUCUCUCUAUGAACACGAAU
rnacentral:lncRNA from 1 species